rnacentral:rRNA from 1 species
AACGUAGGUUCCGAGCGUUAUCCGGAAUUACUGGGCGUAAAGGGCUCGUAGGUGGCCAACUAAGUCAGACGUGAAAUCCCUCGGCUUAACCGGGGAACUGCAUCUGAUACUGGAUGGCUUGAGAUUGGGAGAGGGAUGCGGAAUUCCAGGUGUAGCGGUGAAAUGCGUAGAUAUCUGGAGGAACACCGGUGGCGAAGGCGGCAUCCUGGACCAACACUGACGCUGAGGAGCGAAAGCCAGGGGAGCAAACGGG